CUGAGGACCAGGUGCUGAGGACCAAGUGUUGAGGACUCUGACUGCCUGUGGUCCUUCCAUUGGGAGCGUCUUAACUAAGCAGCAGGAGAGGAGGCCUCUCCAGGAAGGGCCAGCCAGGACCAGAGGGAGCUGGCCGGUGGGCAACAAGCUAGGGAGGGAUGCCCCUCACCCUCCAUGGACUUGCCUCCCCUCCAGGUGGUCUCUGCGUGGCAGCCCGAGUGCUCUCUUACAGAGCAAAUGAGCCCGUCUCUGUGGUGACGGGUCCUGUGACGUUCCCCAUUGCUGCUGGGAAGGACCAGGUGCUGAUUUCCUGCUGACCCCAUGGCCUGUGGAUGAGGCCCGGAGGCCCCCCAGCUUCCUGGAGCUACAGGUCCUGUGCCUCUCGGGAGCACCUUCCAGCCCUCCGGACGGUCUCCCCACCGCUAAGUCCAAGAGCUCUCCUGGCGGCACGAGGUCCCAACGCUUACUGACCAGUGCGCCCCCGAAUUACCUGCCCCUGCGCCUCGGGCAGCGACGUCCUGCCCGUGUGCGGGCCCAGGUGCGGCUCCCCGCCGUGUGCGCCUGUGUUCCUGAGAGCGACCUGGAUGCUGACCACAGGCCCUGCUGACCGCACCCCUGGGGAUGCUCAGCAGAAUCGGCUUCUGGGAGAAGGUGAGAAGCCAGGCCGCUGGGUCCCCGCCAGGCUGGCCGCCCUCGGGCAGAAUGAGGGACGUGGUGCCCCCUCAGCCCUCGGUGUAUGGGCUGAAAUCCUGGAGACCCGGACAGUGGCAGAAGUGGGCGUGAGAGAGGGAGG